rnacentral:rRNA from 1 species
AUGGCCUCCUCGUCCGGCGCGCUGCCGCCGACCCGCCGCCCGCGCCCCGGCCCCUGGCCCCCGGCGCCGCCGCCGCAGCCGCAGGCGCAGCCCCUCUCCUGGGCCAAGCGCACCGGCUUCCAGCCCCGCGUCUCCGGCGAGUCCAGCGCCACCGCCUCCGCCCCGAGCUCCGGGCAGGCCCCGCUCCCCCGCCCGCCCGGCGCCCCCGCCGAUCUGGAGUCCGGCCCGCCGGCCCGGCCCAGCCCCGCCCUGCCGCCCCCUCCCGCCGCCGCGGCGACCAAUGCCAAGCAGCAGCAGCCGCCGCCGCCGCCACAGCAGCGACAGCAACCGCCCGCAGCGCCUCCCGCGAGGACGCGCAGGAGGGAUUCGGAUGGAGGGAGGCCGAACGGGCAGCCGGCCGCGGCGCCGCUGCCGCAGCUGCAGGAGGAAGAGGAUGUGCCGGAGCGGCCGGCGCACGUGAAGUACGAGCUUCGUGACUCUCCUGGAAUAUUUCCAGUAGUGAUAUACGGAUUCCAGCAUUACAUCUCCAUGCUCGGGUCGAUCAUCCUGGUCCCGCUCGUGAUGGUUCCUGCAAUGGGUGGCUCAGCCGAUGACACGGCAGCGGUGGUAUCGACGGUGUUGCUAGUUUCGGGAUUAACCACAUUGUUGCACACAUUGUUCGGAACGAGGUUGCCACUUGUGCAGGGGCCAUCCUUUGUGUACCUUGCCCCCGCUCUUGCAAUUAUCAACUCCCCUGAAUUCUUUGGGCUCAAUGACAAUAACUUUAAACACAUUAUGAAGCACCUGCAGGGAGCUAUCAUAAUAGGAGGUGUAUUUCAAGUGCUGCUGGGAUAUACAGGCCUCAUGUCACUAUUUCUAAGGUUGAUAAAUCCAGUUGUCGUCUCACCAACGGUUGCAGCUGUUGGACUUUCGUUUUUCAGUUAUGGGUUCACUAAAGUAGGGUCAUGUAUAGAGAUGGGCCUCUUGCAAUUAAUGAUGGUCAUUAUCUUUGCACUAUACUUUCGGAAAAUAAAGUUAUUUGGCUACCGGGUUUUUUUAAUUUAUGCGGUUCCUCUUGGUCUAGGAAUCACAUGGGCUGUUGCUUUCGCUUUGACAGCAAGUGGAGUUUACAGCUACAAAGGUUGUGAUGCAAAUAUUCCUGCUUCAAACAAUAUAUCAGCCUUUUGCCGGAAGCAUGUAUUGAGGAUGAAAUCUUGCCGUGUAGACACUUCACAUGCCUUGAGAGUUUCUCCUUGGUUCAGAUUUCCGUAUCCGUUGCAAUGGGGCACUCCAGUUUUCAAUUGGAAAAUGGGCCUUGUGAUGUGUCUUGUAUCAGUUAUUGCAUCAGUUGAUUCUGUUGGUUCCUACCAUGCGUCAUCUUUGUUUGUGGCCACAAGACCACCAACAGUUGGAAUUGUUAGCAGGGGUAUAGGCGUUGAGGGUAUCUCCACAGUCUUGGCUGGCCUGUGGGGAACAGGAGUUGGAUCAGCAACAAUAACAGAAAAUGUACACACGAUCGCUGUGACUAAAAUGGGUAGCCGCAAGGCAGUUGGAUUUGGUGCUAUUGUACUUAUACUUCUCUCUGUUGUUGGAAAAGUUGGUGGUUUCAUUGCUUCCAUCCCUGAUGUUAUGGUUGCUGCUCUCCUUUGUUUCAUGUGGGCCAUGCUCUGUGCUCUUGGCUUGUCCAAUCUUCGUUAUGGUGCCACAGGAAGCUCGAGAAACAGUAUUGUAGUUGGGCUAGCAUUGUUUUUAUCCCUAUCAGUUCCUUCAUACUUCCAACAGUACGGAUUACUUCCGAACACAAACUCAUCAGUUCCAACCUACUUUCAGCCAUAUAAUGUUGCAUCACAUGGGCCUGUAGACACUGGAUUUGUUGGGGUAAACUACGUCCUCAAUACGGUACUGUCACUCAAUAUGGUGAUUGCAUUUCUGGUUGCUGUCAUACUCGACAAUACAGUCCCUGGUGGGCGCCAAGAGCGGGGCUUGUAUGUAUGGUCAGAAGCAGAGGAGGCGACAAGAGAACCAUCCUUCUUGAAAGACUAUGAACUUCCUUUCAAGAUAGGGCGGGCGUUCAGGUGGGUCAAAUGCAUGGGCCUAUAG